UACUUCAGUCCGUUCGACUUGUCUCGUGCUUUGUGUGGACCACAGAUCACAACUGCAGCAUCGGCAAGAUGAACUCACUCUGUCUUCUGACACUUUCAGUCCUUCUGGCCUCCUGUGCCGGUCAGAGUAUGGAGUCCAUUCCUUCUAGUGUGGUCGUGAAGCAAGCGGGUCAGACGCUCAGUCUUUCUUGCAGAGGUUCCGGGUUCACGUUUACCUGCUGCACUAUGCACUGGAUCCGGAAAGCUCCUGGAAAAGGCCUUGAAUGGCUAGGACGGGGAUAUUCAUCGGCCAGUAGCAACGACUAUGCCAGCAGCUUGAGAGGACGUGUUGCCAUUAGCAGAGAUGAUGCUAACAGCAUGGUUCAUCUGACACUGUCCAACCUCCAGCCCGAAGACUCUGCUGUCUAUUACUGUGCAAAAUCCCACACAUGUUGAAACACACAGCAGGGCUCUACAAAA